rnacentral:misc_RNA from 1 species
GCAAACUUGGUCAUUUAGAGGAAGUAAAAGUCGUAACAAGGUUUCCGUAGGUGAACCUGCGGAAGGAUCAUUACCGAGUUAGGGUCUUCUAGGCCCGACCUCCAACCCUUUGUCUACCUGACCUCUGUUGCUUCGGCGGACCCGUCUCGCAAGAGACCGCCGGAGGGUUUGACCCUCUGGCCCGUUGUCCGUCGAUGGCCCUUCUAAAAACUCUUGAUUAAACGUGUCAAGUCUGAAGAACAAAUUGAAUAAAGCAAAACUUUCAACAACGGAUCUCUUGGUUCUGGCAUCGAUGAAGAACGCAGC